rnacentral:rRNA from 1 species
CACGUAGGGUGCGAGCGUUGUCCGGAAUUAUUGGGCGUAAAGAGCUCGUAGGCGGUGUGUCGCGUCGGCCGUGAAAACCUGCAGCUUAACUGUGGGCUUGCGGUCGAUACGGGCAUCACUGGAGUUCGGCAGGGGAGACUGGAAUUCCUGGUGUAGUGGUGGAAUGCGUAGAUAUCGGGAGGAACACCAGUGGCGAAGGCGGUUGCCUGGAGCUUUGCUGACGCUGAUGCGCGAAAGCGUGGGGAGCGAUCCGG